CCUACGGGAGGCAGCAGUAGGGAAUCUUCCGCAAUGGACGAAAGUCUGACGGAGCAACGCCGCGUGAACGAUGAAGGCCUUCGGGUCGUAAAGUUCUGUUGUUAGGGAAGAACAAGUGCUAGUUGAAUAAGCUGGCACCUUGACGGUACCUAACCAGAAAGCCACGGCUAACUACGUGCCAGCAGCCGCGGUAAUACGUAGGUGGCAAGCGUUGUCCGGAAUUAUUGGGCGUAAAGCGCGCGCAGGCGGUUUCUUAAGUCUGAUGUGAAAGCCCCCGGCUCAACCGGGGAGGGUCAUUGGAAACUGGGAAACUUGAGUGCAGAAGAGGAAAGUGGAAUUCCAAGUGUAGCGGUGAAAUGCGUAGAGAUUUGGAGGAACACCAGUGGCGAAGGCGACUUUCUGGUCUGUAACUGACGCUGAGGCGCGAAAGCGUGGGGAGCAAACAGGAUUAGAUACCCUGGUAGUCCACGCUGUAAACGAUGAGUGCUAAGUGUUAGAGGGUUUCCGCCCUUUAGUGCUGAAGUUAACGCAUUAAGCACUCCGCCUGGGGGAUACGGUCGCAAGACUGAAAACUUAAAGGAAUUGACGG
rnacentral:rRNA from 1 species